rnacentral:rRNA from 1 species
GUGGGGAAUAUUGGACAAUGGGCGAAAGCCUGAUCCGGCCAUGCCGCGUGUGUGAAGAAGGUCUUCGGAUUGUAAAGCACUUUAAGUUGGGAGGAAGGGCAGUAAGUUAAUACCUUGCUGUUUUGACGUUACCGACAGAAUAAGCACCGGCUAACUUCGUGCCAGCAGCCGCGGUAAUACGAAGGGUGCAAGCGUUAAUCGGAAUUACUGGGCGUAAAGCGCGCGUAGGUGGUUUUGUAAGUUGGAGGUGAAAUCCCCGGGCUCAACCUGGGAACUGCCUCCAAAACUGCAUGACUAGAGUACGGUAGAGGGUAGUGGAAUUUCCUGUGUAGCGGUGAAAUGCGUAGAUAUAGGAAGGAACACCAGUGGCGAAGGCGACUACCUGGACUGAUACUGACACUGAGGUGCGAAAGCGUGGGGAGCAAACAGGAUUAGAAACCCGGGUAGUCC